AUGGUUGUACUUUCAAAGAUUGUUGCUAUAGUUGAUUUCUAGAGAGGAGUGUGUAAUAGUGAUUGUUUUUGUUAGCUAUGAUAAAGAGUCAUUAGUGAUCUCUUCUGUGUGUGAAGUUGGUAGGCAGUGCUGUUUGUAUACAGCUGCUGCUUAUUCUUGAUGAUUGCUGAGCUUCUUUUAGGGAGCUGAAGAAAGAAAGCACAAGCUGAGCGGU